rnacentral:rRNA from 1 species
GAUGAACGCUGGCGGCGUGCUUAACACAUGCAAGUCGAACGAUGAAGCCCAGCUUGCUGGGUGGAUUAGUGGCGAACGGGUGAGUAACACGUGAGUAACCUGCCCUUGACUCUGGGAUAAGCCUGGUAAACUGGGUCUAAUACUGGAUAUGACUUCUCAUCGCAUGGUGGGGGGUGGAAAGAUUUAUUGGUCUUGGAUGGACUCGCGGCCUAUCAGCUUGUUGGUGAGGUAAUGGCUCACCAAGGCGACGACGGGUAGCCGGCCUGGGAGGGUGACCGGCCACACGGGGACUGAGACACGGCCCAGAAUCCUACGGGAGGCAACGGGGGGGAAUAUUACACAAUGGGCGCAAGCCUGAGACAGCGACGCCGCGUGAGGGAAGACGGCCUUCGGGUUGUAAACCUCUUUCAGUAGGGAAGAAGCGAGAGUGACGGUACCUGCAGAAGAAGCGCCGGCUAACUACGUG